UUUUGCAGAACACCAUGGGCUGGCGCCGUGUCGUAGAGGCCAUCUGUUCUUUCACUUUUCCCAAAGAGCUAACACUUCUCUGCUGCUCUCUGGAUCCUCCUCCCCCUACCUUGAACCCUCAAGAUGAAAGGUGAGUUCUCUUCUGCCCCAUGUGGGUGGGACAUGGCGGGAUGCCAAGGGCAGGGGUCUCAUUCUCUCCCACCCAUAGAAAUGGUGCUACCCAGCUCAUGUCUGGGCCUUUGAAUCCGGAGACUUCUUUAAGUCCGUCUCGUUCUGAAUCAAGAAGAUGCUGCAAUCAGAACCACUACACUACCUGCCUCAGGAAUCUGCUCCAAGGUGAAGCUGAAAGAACAGAUGGUGUCAACAUCUUGAAAGAACAGACUCAUAGCACCCACCCACCCCUGAGAAUCCAUCUUCAUGGCCAACUCUGCCUGACCCGGGAGACCACCACCCACAUCAUCCUGGAGCCAAGCCUCUACCCCAGGAUGACUUCAUCAUCUCCCUCCUGUCUUUUUCUUCUUCCUCCUUUCCUGUAAUUCUGUUUCUUUCCUUUUGUUCCUUCCUUGCUUGAGAGACUCAAAGCACCCGUGACUCUGUUUCCCCAUUUACCCCCUUUUGAAUUUGCACUAAGUCGAUUGCACUGGUUUGGAGUCCUGGAGAUAGCCUUGAGUCUCUCCGUAUGAAUGUAUACAACGAGUGUGUAGGCCUCUUUGGCAAUGCCGCCCCAGUACCCGCCUGUCAUCCAUCUCUGUCUGAGGGCAACUGGGUGUGGCCGUGUGCUUGAGGCCUCGCCUUCCCCUCGCCUAGUCUGGAAGCA
rnacentral:lncRNA from 1 species